CUCAGAUAAAGAAGAAACCAUGGAGAAUGUUGCAACAGAAGAAGUGGAAUUAUCUGAAGGAAGCCACCAAAGCUAAAAUUGUAUCUAUUCUGGAACGAAAAAUCAUCGGCCACGAAGAGGUACAAAUGCAAGAUAAUUGAUAGUCAUAGGUUCUUUUGUCCCCAAUUUUUAACCCAACUGAAGGAAUGAGAAGAACCGAUUAGAGCGAAGAGGUAGAUAUUGCAGAAGACUGAAAAGCUUCGCGAUGAAACCGGACUGACAUGCUUUAUUCGUUGAGAAGGAUAUACAUGUCAAAAAUCGCAGGCACGUCAUGUGUCACCAUCUGUGCAAUGCAAAGUACUUCUUAAAGCCAGCGACCGACAGGCGAAGGAUUGCAGUCUACACAAGCCCUUCGUCAUGAUGAUGAUUUAAUCGUUAAUUCACUAUAAUCAAGAGUAUGAUGAAGUGAAGCUUAAGGGAAGUAUCCGGUAAGAAUAUUUUUAUAAAUAAUAAAAUAGGAACUAUCUUAAUUUUUUCUCUCUUUUUAUUGUACGUCUUCGAACUUAACUUAAAUGCCUUCCAAUUCAUCUAUGAUAUAUUGCUGUAGAUGCCGUCAACAUAUUCAAUUCAUUUCAAACCUAACUCCAAGAAUUACUUCAUCAAUUUAGUUUUUUUAAAUAUUACUUUUUUUUUAAAUAGAAGGC